UUGACCUCAAAUCAGGUAGGACUACCCGCUGAACUUAAGCAUAUCAAUAAGCGGAGGAAAAGAAACUAACAAGGAUUCCCCUAGUAACUGCGAGUGAAGCGGGAAAAGCUCAAAUUUGAAAUCUGGCAGUUCUUGACUGUCCGAGUUGUAAUCUAGAGAAGUGUUACCUGUGCUGGACCGUGUACAAGUCUCCUGGAAUGGAGCAUCACAGAGGGUGAGAAUCCCGUCUUUGACACGGACUACCUGUACAUUAUGGUGCGCUCUCAAAGAGUCGAGUUGUUUGGGAAUGCAGCUCAAAAUGGGUGGUAAAUGCCAUCUAAAGCUAAAUAUUGGCGAGAGACCGAUAGCGAACAAGUACCGUGAGGGAAAGAUGAAAAGAACUUUGGAAAGAGAGUUAAACAGUACGUGAAAUUGCUGAAAGGGAAACGC
rnacentral:rRNA from 1 species